CAGCAGCCGCGGGAAUACGUAGGGUGCGAGCGUUAAUCGGAAUUACUGGGCGUAAAGCGUGCGCAGGCGGUUGUGUAAGACAGGUGUGAAAUCCCCGGGCUUAACCUGGGAACUGCGCUCGUGACUGCACAGCUAGAGUAUGGCAGAGGGGGGUGGAAUUCCACGUGUAGCAGUGAAAUGCGUAGAGAUGUGGAGGAACACCGAUGGCGAAGGCAGCCCCCUGGGCCAAUACUGACGCUCAUGCACGAAAGCGUGGGGAGCAAACAGGAUUAGAUACCCCAGUAGUCCCUGUCUCUUAUAC
rnacentral:rRNA from 1 species